rnacentral:rRNA from 1 species
UGGGAAUAUUGGACAAUGGGGGAACCCGUGAUCCAGCCAUGCCGCGUGUGUGAAGAAGGCCUUAUGGUUGUAAAGCACUCUAAGCGAGGAGGAGGCUACUUUAGUUAAUACCUAGAGAUAGUGGACGUUACUCGCAGAAUAAGCACCGGCUAACUCUGUGCCAGCAGCCGCGGUAAUACAGAGGGUGCGAGCGUUAAUCGGAUUUACUGGGCGUAAAGCGUGCGUAGGCGGCUUAUUAAGUCGGAUGUGAAAUCCCCGAGCUUAACUUGGGAAUUGCUCGAUACUGGUGAGCUAGAGUAUGGGAGAGGAUGGUAGAAUUCCAGGUGUAGCGGUGAAAUGCGUAGAGAUCUGGAGGAAUACCGAUGGCGAAGGCAGCCAUCUGGCCUAAUACUGACGCUGAGGUACGAAAGCAUGGGGAGCAAACAGGAUUAGAUACCCUGGUAGUCCAUGCCGUAAACGAUGUCUACUAGCCGUUGGGGCCUUUGAGGC